rnacentral:lncRNA from 1 species
AGGUGUCCAGGUGGGAAUCCUGACAUGUGAGGUCCAGGAGAGGAUCUUGCUCUGUAGAGUCAGGGCCCAGGAGAGCCCACUGCUCCUUCUCACUGCCCAUGUGAUCUCUGACCAGCAGCUUGUUCUCUAAGUUCUGGCCUGUGGUAUCCUGAGGCUCUGCCUGGGGGGUAAGUGCAUCCUGGUGCCCCAUUGGCUUGGAAGAUUGGAAGGGUGGUGAGAUCCCACCGUGUGCCCUCCUGGGGAACAUCGCAGGUGCUGGGC